rnacentral:misc_RNA from 1 species
AACGCACAUUGCGCCCCUUGGCAUUCCGAGGGGCAUGCCCGUUCGAGCGUCAUUAAAUCCAAUCAAGCCUGGCUUGGUAUUGGGCGUCGGGGGUCUCCCGCGCCUCAAUUUCACCGGCUGGCCGUCGCCCGUCUUAGCGUUGUGACACACAUUCUCGCUACCGAUGGGGUCGGAUCCACGCCGUUAGAACUUCACGAAUUUUCAAUCGAAAUUUGAUUAAGGUUGACCUCGGAUCGGGUAGGAAUACCCGCUGAACUUAA